ACAAGUACCGUGGGGAAAGUUGAAAAGAACUCUGAAGAGAGAGUUAAAUAGUACGUGAAACUGGUUAGGUCGAAGCGGAUAGAGCAGUCGAAAGAUGGUAGCAAUGAGUUGAUCGGGUGUUGGCUUCGGCUCAGCACAUCGGUUGAUGCACUUGUUAUUUGUUGCGCUGGCACGGUUGAUGAUGCCGUUGGAAGUGGUUGUAGAGGUGCUGUUCUUCGGAAGGGUAAACCUGCAAUCAUAAAGACGUGUUGUUGUUAAUCGAUGUUGUUACAACAACGCAACAGUGAGUGUGCUGUAAGUGUGAGUGUUGACUAUGGGUCUUCGCAUGCGAAGGCCUUAGCCAGUGCUUAUGCUUGUAGUAUUAUGAUCUGAGGCGUUUGUCAGUGUACAUUUGUACUGUCACCUAUCCGUCCCGUCUUGAAACACGGACCAAGGAGUUUAUCGUAUGUGCGAGUUAUUGGGUGAUUAAAACCUAAUGGCGUAAUGAAAGUAAAGGUUUUGCUUGCAAAACUGAUAUGUGAUCCGGAUGUCCUUCGGGGCUUCGGCGCAGCAUAGCCCCAUCUCGGUUGCUUGCAACGGGGUGGAGGUAGAGCAUAUGCGAUGAGACCCGAAAGAUGGUGAACUAUGCCCGGGCAGGAUGAAGCCGGAGGAAACUCUGGUGGAAGUCCGUAGCGGUUCUGACGUGCAAAUCGAUCGUCUGACCUGGGUAUAGGGGCGAAAGACUAAUCGAACCAUCUAGUAGCUGGUCCCU
rnacentral:rRNA from 1 species